rnacentral:ncRNA from 2 species
UAAUAUCGUUGUACUUUAGGUUCCUAUUUGGUGAAAAGGGAAUGUGGUGAAAACCCACAACAGCCCCCGCUACUGUAAUUGAGGACAAACCUUACAUAUCCACUUUAAGUUCAUGCUUAUGGGAAGGGUAAGGGGAGAUAGAUUCAUAAGUCAGGAGACCUGCCUAAAGUAUAAUAGAUUU